UACGUAGGGACCAAGCGUUGUUCGGAUUUACUGGGCGUAAAGGGCGCGUAGGCGGCAAUUCAAGUCAUCUGUGAAAUCUCCGGGCUUAACUCGGAACGGUCAGAUGAUACUGCUUUGCUCGAGUGCGGAAGGGGCAAUCGGAAUUCUUGGUGUAGCGGUGAAAUGCGUAGAUAUCAAGAGGAACACCAGUGGCGAAGGCGGCUCACUGGACCGGUACUGACGCUGAUGCGCGAAAGCGUGGGGAGCAAACAGG
rnacentral:rRNA from 1 species